rnacentral:rRNA from 1 species
AACCUCCGCAAUGUGAGAAAUCGCGACGGGGGGAUCCCAAGUGCCAUUCUUAACGGGAUGGCUUUUCAUUAGUGUAAAGAGCUUUUGGAAUAAGGGCUGGGCAAGACCGGUGCCAGCCGCCGCGGUAACACCGGCAGCUCUAGUGGUAGCAGUUUUUAUUGGGCCUAAAGCGUCCGUAGCCGGUUUAAUAAGUCUCUGGUGAAAUCCUGUAGCUUAACUGUGGGAAUUGCUGGAGAUACUAUUAGACUUGAGACCGGGAGAGGUUAGAGGUACUCCCAGGGUAGAGGUGAAAUUCUGUAAUCCUGGGAGGACCGCCUGUUGCGAAGGCGUCUAACUGGAACGGUUCUGACGGUGAGGGACGAAAGUUAGGGGCGCGAACCGGAUUAGAUACCCGGGUAGCCCUAACUGUAAACGAUGCGGACUUGGUGUUGGGGUGGCUUUGAGCUGUUCCAGUGCCGAAGGGAAGCUGUUAAGUCCGCCGCCUGGGAAGUACGGUCGCAAGACUGAAACUUAAAGGAAUU